rnacentral:rRNA from 1 species
UCGAUUCCCUUAGUAGCGGCGAGCGAAACGGGAAGAGCCCAAACCAACAAGCUUGCUUGUUGGGGUUGUAGGACACUCUAUACGGAGUUACAAAGGACGACAUUAGACGAAUCAUCUGGAAAGAUGAAUCAAAGAAGGUAAUAAUCCUGUAGUCGAAAAUGUUGUCUCUCUUGAGUGGAUCCUGAGUACGACGGAGCACGUGAAAUUCCGUCGGAAUCUGGGAGGACCAUCUCCUAAGGCUAAAUACUCUCUAGUGACCGAUAGUGAACCAGUACCGUGAGGGAAAGGUGAAAAGCACCCCGGAAGGGGAGUGAAAUAGAACCUGAAACCGUGUGCUUACAAGUAGUCAGAGCCCGUUAAUGGGUGAUGGCGUGCCUUUUGUAGAAUGAACCGGCGAGUUACGAUUUGAUGCAAGGUUAAGCAGUAAAUGUGGAGCCGUAGCGAAAGCGAGUCUGAAUAGGGCGUUUAGUAUUUGGUCGUAGACCCGAAACCAGGUGAUCUACCCUUGGUCAGGUUGAAGUUCAGGUAACACUGAAUGGAGGACCGAACCGACUUACGUUGAAAAGUGAGCGGAUGAACUGAGGGUAGCGGAGAAAUUCCAAUCGAACCUGGAGAUAGCUGGUUCUCUCCGAAAUAGCUUUAGGGCUAGC